UUCGGUCCUCUUGGUCUUGGCUAACCGAGAGAACGGGAUAGGGUUUAGCUAACGUCAUUAAACUAUUUAACAUUUUUAAUAGGAUUUUAUGUUGAAUUUACUUUAUAUAUGUCAUAAAUCAUUUUUGUAUAUAACUAUAUAAUAAGUGUACAAGUUCAACGUCAAGGAGGGUCAUGCGGGUCGUGGACGGCACACCAACGUCGGCUUCUUCUUCGUGUUUCGGUCCAAACAUGAUUGAGAGUAUUAUAUAAACCAUACUUUAAAUUCUCGAACUAUAUUAAGGAAAACUUAAUAGUCAACAAUAUUAGUUGUCCACUUGUCCCCUAUU